rnacentral:rRNA from 1 species
GAGUUUGAUCCUGGCUCAGGACGAACGCUGGCGGCGUGCCUAAUACAUGCAAGUCGAGCGAGCUUGCCUAGAUGAUUUUAGUGCUUGCACUAAAUGAAACUAGAUACAAGCGAGCGGCGGACGGGUGAGUAACACGUGGGUAACCUGCCCAAGAGACUGGGAUAACACCUGGAAACAGAUGCUAAUACCGGAUAACAACACUAGACGCAUGUCUAGAGUUUGAAAGGUGGUUCUGCUAUCACUCUUGGAUGGACCUGCGGUGCAUUAGCUAGUUGGUAAGGUAACGGCUUACCAAGGCAAUGAUGCAUAGCCGAGUUGAGAGACUGAUCGGCCACAUUGGGACUGAGACACGGCCCAAACUCCUACGGGAGGCAGCAGUAGGGAAUCUUCCACAAUGGACGAAAGUCUGAUGGAGCAACGCCGCGUGAGUGAAGAAGGGUUUCGGCUCGUAAAGCUCUGUUGGUAGUGAAGAAAGAUAGAGGUAGUAACUGGCCUUUAUUUGACGGUAAUUACUUAGAAAGUCACGGCUAACUACGUGCCAGCAGCCGCGGUAAUACGUAGGUGGCAAGCGUUGUCCGGAUUUAUUGGGCGUAAAGCGAGUGCAGGCGGUUCAAUAAGUCUGAU